GUGGGGAAUAUUGGACAAUGGGCGAAAGCCUGAUCCAGCCAUGCCGCGUGUGUGAAGAAGGUCUUCGGAUUGUAAAGCACUUUAAGUUGGGAGGAAGGGUAGUAACCUAAUACGUUGCUACUUUGACGUUACCGACAGAAUAAGCACCGGCUAACUUCGUGCCAGCAGCCGCGGUAAUACGAAGGGUGCAAGCGUUAAUCGGAAUUACUGGGCGUAAAGCGCGCGUAGGUGGUUUUGUAAGUUGGAGGUGAAAUCCCCGGGCUCAACCUGGGAACUGCUUUCAAAACUGCUGAGCUAGAGUACAGUAGAGGGUGGUGGAAUUUCCUGUGUAGCGGUGAAAUACGUAGAUAUAGGAAGGAACACCAGUGGCGAAGGCGACCACCUGGACUGAUACUGACACUGAGGUGCGAAAGCGUGGGGAGCAAACAGGAUUAGAAACCCUUGUAGUCC
rnacentral:rRNA from 1 species